rnacentral:piRNA from 1 species
UAAAAAAUAAAAGUAGCUCGAUGUGG